GCUCGUGUGGUCUAGUGGUAUGACGUUCGCCUCACACUUCUCAGCAACCUUCACAGGAAGUUGAAGUGGAACGCGACAGGUCCCAGGUUCGAUCCCUGGUAUGAGCA